UCUCGGCAACGGAUAUCUCGGCUCACGCAUCGAUGAAGAACGUAGCAAAAUGCGAUACUUGGUGUGAAUUGCAGAAUCCCGUGAACCAUCGAGUUUUUGAACGCAAGUUGCGCCCGAAGCCAUUCGGCCGAGGGCACGUCUGCCUGGGCGUCACGCAUCGCGU
rnacentral:rRNA from 1 species